UAUGCUUUGUUAUUCCUGUAUUGUUUUGAGAGUGAGACAAAUGUACUUACGAUGUUCCUCCACAGGGCCCUGUUGGUGGGACUGGCAUAAGUGGCUUUCCUGGUCUAAGGGGAGACCCAGGGCCCGAGGGACCACGAGGACUGCCUGGUAUGGUGGGACCUCAGGUGGGCCUGAUUUUUGCUUCUACCAAUGUUUUACAUCUUAGGAGAAUCCUAAGUGAUUACAUUUUAAACUCUUCCUUCCUUUUGUUCCGCUCUCUCUGCGACAGGGCCCAACAGGACGAGCCGGCCUGCCUGGAUUGAAAGGUGAUAAGGUGAUCUAAAUAUUUAUAUUAUUGCAGUGCAUCUGUGUGUAAUGUGUGACUUGGACGUACUAUAUGAGAUCCUUGUGACAUUUUGCUAACACAUCCAGCAAACUCAGUGCUAUGUAUUAGUGUUUAAUCAUUUUUUCAUAUUAAACACUGAUAUUGCUUCAGUGGUUCUUUACAGACUCUUCAUUUGCUUUCACAACAUUGAACUCAACCUAUCAAACUGAAUUUCGAUAGUGCUGGUGCAUUAAACAGCCUCUGUGUAGUCUGUGCCGUUCUUUUGUCUGUGGUUUCUUCAGAUCAUUGCGGCAAUGCAGUGUUGUGUUAUAUCUCUGUUUGAUACUAUGAAAUCUAGGGUGAAACCGGACAAAGGGGCGAGCCAGGAGAGAUGGGGUACCAGGGGGAUAAGGGUGCUGCUGGUGCACCUGGUCUUCCUGGGCCCAGAGGGAAACCAGGGCCACCGGGUAAAAUUGGAGAAAUGGGUGUGCCUGGACCACCUGGGCCUCCAGGACCAGAGGUAGGGCAUACGUGUUUGUGCAUAUUUUUUCAUCAUACUUUUCUGACAGAUGCU
rnacentral:lncRNA from 1 species